rnacentral:rRNA from 1 species
CUUAUCAUUUAGAGGWAGGAGAAGUCGUAACAAGGUUUCCGUAGGUGAACCUGCGGAAGGAUCAUUGUUGAGUCCCUGAUAGGAAGAUUGCGAACUUGUGAACGGAUCACUCGGGGUGAUUGGGCCAGCCCCUACCACCUCGGGGCCUUGCCUCCUCGUCUUGAGGUGUCGCCUCUGACGGGGUAGGCGGGGGACGGACCAAACUCCGGCGCGGUCAGCGCCAAGGAUCAUACAAUUCGAGUAGAGUGUGCCAUGGCCCUUGCGGCCGUCGGUGCACCCUAGUAAAUCAUUAAGACUCUCGGCAACGGAUAUCUCGGCUCUUACAUCGAUGAAGAACGUAGCGAAAUGCGAUACUUGGUGUGAAUUGCAGAAUCCCGUGAACCAUCGAGUCUUUGAACGCAAGUUGCGCCCGAGGCCUUCGGGUCGAGGGCACGCCUGCCUGGGCGUCACGCCUCGCAUCGGACAACACCCACUGCCCUCCUGGGUCGGGUGUGGCUUCGGACAUUGGCCUUCUGUGCACUCGCGCGCAGUGGGCUUAAGAGAGGGCCGUCGGUCGGGUCGGCACGACGAGUGGUGGACUUUGUGCCAACAGGAUGUCGUGUCCCCGGACGCUGAAUAGCCAACGACCCCGAAUUGGGGCGUGCUAGACGCUCUCCCGUUUGGGAGGGCCCUCAGCCUCGCAACGUGACCCCAGGKCAGGCGGGGACACCCGCUGAGUUUAAGCAUAUCAAUA